ensembl:lncRNA
GAUCUGGUGAAGAUAAUGCUGUAUAAUAACAGGAUAAUGUGACAAUGUAGAAGGCUGGUUUGAGAUCUGGUGAUGAUAAUGUUGUAUAAUGACACUAUAAUGUGACAAUGUAGAAGGCCGGUUUGAGAUCUGGUGAAGAUAAUGUUGUAUAAUAACAGGAUAAUGUGGUCAAUGUAGAAGGCUGGUUUGAGAUCUGGUGAAGAUAAUGCUGUAUAAUAACAGGAUAAUAUGGUCAAUGUAGAAGGCUGGUUUGAGAUCUGGUGAAGAUAAUGUUGUAUAAUGACACUAUAAUGUGACAAUGUAGAAGGCUGGUUUGAGAUCUGGUGAAGAUAAUGUUGUAUAAUAACAGGAUAAUAUGGUCAAUGUAGAAGAUCUGGUGAAGAUAAUGUUGUAUAAUAACAGGAUAAUGUGGAACAUAAACUGAUGGAACAUUUUAAUACAAAAGACACACAACAAACUAGUUGUUCCAGCUGGAACAGUCCGAUCAUGUAUAAACUACAGUCAACAGACUCAUUAAAGAGAUUCUCUGCUACUUUUUGUGUACUUUUUAGCCAGUAGUGCUGAUAGUAACACUCACAAGUCAAAAGUGGUCCCUGAAAAUGUUGUACUACAUCACAUAUGUUCACCACGUCAUCUCUCUCUCUGCUGUGGCGCGCCCUGCAACCUCAUUGGAUAACCCUGGGCUGGCUUCUUGCAAGCUGUCACUCAAAUACGAGUGGCUGAAGCUCAUGAGAUAGAACUCUAAUUGCCAGGGAAAUGGAGGGGAAAUGGCGCGGCACAGUUUCAACAAAUUGUCGCUUUCCAACUUUUUGUGGAUUUUUGAGGUAAGACAGUGAUUAUGCAUGAAUUAACUACAUACUGAAACAUCCAGCCCAAAGUGUGAGGUUGAAAACCUCAAUUACAUAAUUACCUAUCUACUAACCGCACAUUGACUCUGUACCGGUAACCCCUGUAUAUAGCCUCCACAUUGACUCUGUACCGUAACACCCUGUAUAUAGCCUCCACAUUGACUCUGUACCAGUACCCCUGUAUAUAGCCUCCACAUUGACUCUGUACCGGUAACCCCUGUAUAUAGCCUCCACAUUGACUCUGUACCGUAAUACCCUGUAUAUAGCCUCCACAUUGACUCUGUACCGUAACACCCUGUAUAUAGCCUCCACAUUGACUCUGUACCGGUACCCCCUGUAUAUAGCCUCCACAUUGACUCUGUACCGUAAUACCCUGUAUAUAGCCUCCACAUUGACUCUGACCCGUAAUACCCUGUAUAUAGCCUCCACAUUGACUCUGUACCGUAACACCCUGUAUAUAGCCUCCACAUUGACUCUGUACCGGUACCCCCUGUAUAUAGCCUCCACAUUGACUCUGUACCGUAACCCCCUGUAUAUAGCCUCCACAUUGACUCUGUACCGUAAUACCCUGUGUAUAGCCUCCACAUUGACUCUGUACCGUAAUACCCUGUAUAUAGCCUCCACAUUGACUCUGUACCGGUACCCCCUGUAUAUAGCCUCCACAUUGACUCUGUACCGUAACACCCUGUAUAUAGCCUCCACAUUGACUCUGUACCGGUACCCCCCUGUGUAUAGCCUCCACAUUGACUCUGUACCGUAAUACCCUGUGUAUAGCCUCCACAUUGACUCUGUACCGUAAUACCCUGUAUAUAGCCUCCACAUUGUCUCUGUACCGUAAUACCCUGUAUAUUGCCCCACUAUUGUUAUUUACUGCUGAUCUUUAAUGUGUUAUUCUUAUCUCUUACUUUUGUGGUAUUUUCUGCAUUGUUGGUUAAGUGCUUGUAAGUUCUACACCUGUUGUAUUCAGCAUUUCACUGUAAGGUCUACUACACCUGUUGUAUUCAGCAUUUCACUGUGAGGUCUACUACACCUGUUGUAUUCAGCAUUUCACUGUAAGGUCUACUACACCUGUUGUAUUCAGCAUUUCACUGUCAGGUCUACUACACCUGUUGUAUUCAGCAUUUCACUGUAAGGUCUACUACACCUGUUGUAUUCAGCAUUUCACUGUAAGGUCUACUACACCUGUUGUAUUCAGCAUUUCACUGUAAGGUCUACUACACCUGUUGUAUUCAGCAUUUCACUGUAAGUUCUACAGCUGUUGUAUUCAGCAUUUCACUGUAAGGUCUACUACACCUGUUGUAUUCAUCAUUCCACUGUAAGGUCUACUACACCUGUUGUAUUCAGCAUUUCACGGUAAGGUUCUACACCUGUUGUAUUCAGCAUUUCACUGUAAGGUCUACUACACCUGUUGUAUUCAGCAUUUCACUGUAAGGUCUACUACACCUGUUGUAUUCAGCAUUUCACUCUAAGGUCUACUACACCUGUUGUAUUCAGCAUUUCACUGUGAGGUCUACUACACCUGUUGUAUUCAGCAUUUCACUGUAAGGUCUACUACACCUGUUGUAUUCAGCAUUUCACUGUAAGGUCUACUACACCUGUUGUAUUCAGCAUUUCACUGUGAGGUCUACUACACCUGUUGUAUUCAGCAUUUCACUGUAAGGUCUACUACACCUGUUGUAUUCAGCAUUUCACUGUAAGGUCUACUACACCUGUUGUAUUCAGCAUUUCACUGUGAGGUCUACUACACCUGUUGUAUUCGGCAUUUCACUGUAAGGUCUACUACACCUGUUGUAUUCAGCAUUUCACUCUAAGGUUCUACACCUGUUGUAUUCAGCAUUUCACUGUAAGGUCUACUACACCUGUUGUAUUCAGCAUUUCACUGUGAGGUCUACUACACCUGUUGUAUUCAUCAUUCCACUGUAAGGUCUACUACACCUGUUGUAUUCAGCAUUUCACUGUAAGGUCUACUACACCUGUUGUAUUCAGCAUUUCACUGUGAGGUCUACUACACCUGUUGUAUUCAGCAUUUCACUGUGAGGUCUACUACACCUGUUGUAUUCAGCAGUUCACUGUAAGGUCUACUACACCUGUUGUAUUCAGCAUUUCACUGUAAGGUCUACUACACCUGUUGUAUUUCAGCAUUUCACUGUGAUGUCUACUACACCUGUUGUAUUCAGCAUUUCACUGUAAGGUCUACUACACCUGUUGUAUUCAGCAUUUCACUGUGAGGUCUACUACACCUGUUGUAUUCAGCAUUUCACUGUGAGGUCUACUACACCUGUUGUAUUCAGCAUUUCACUGUAAGGUUCUACACCUGUUGUAUUCAGCAUUUCACUGUAAGGUCUACUACACCUGUUGUAUUCAGCAUUUCACUGUGAGGUCUACUACACCUGUUGUAUUCAGCAUUUCACUGUAAGGUUCUACACCUGUUGUAUUCAGCAUUUCACUGUAAGGUUCUACACCUGUUGUAUUCAGCAUUUCACUGUAAGGUCUUCUACACCUGUUGUAUUCAGCAUUUCACUGUAAGGUUCUACACCUGUUGUAUUCAGCAUUUCACUGUAAGGUCUACUACACCUGUUGUAUUCAGCAUUUCACUGUGAGGUCUACUACACCUGUUGUAUUCAGCAUUUCACUGUAAGGUCU